rnacentral:rRNA from 1 species
AGCUCCAAUAGCGUAUAUUAAAGUUGUUGCAGUUAAAAAGCUCGUAGUUGGAUUUCUGGUCGGGUGACCCGGCCCUCAUGUUGAGUGUGCAAGGCCGCCCGUCCAUCCUUCUGUCAACCCUUGAGGCUUUUACGGCUUCCUGGGGGCUCAGAUAUUUUACCUUGAGAAAAUUAGAGUGUUUCAGGCAGGCUAGCGCCGGAAUACAUUAGCAUGGAAUAAUGGAAUAGGACUUUUGCCUCUUCUGUUGGUCUGAGGGGUUCGAGUAAUGAUUAAUAGGGAUAGUUGGGGGCAUUAGUACUUAACUGUCAGAGGUGAAAUUCUCGGAUUUGUUAAAGACUAACUUAUGCGAAAGCAUUUGCCAAGGAUGUUUUCAUUAAUCAAGACGAAGUAGG